ACCUUACACCAAUUCCUUCUCCUUUCAUCGUCUGCUCCUUCUCCUUCAUCCAUUCUCGUCAACUGCUCCUUCUCCUUCAUCCAUUCCUGCAACCUUAUCCUUUUUCCUCAUUACCUGCUCAGUCCUAGUUUCAUUGUUGAAGGCGGUUCCCCAUUCCCCCCUCAGUCGCAGCUUUGGCGUGUUUUCCGUCGUCCUCACUCUGUAAGCAAGUUCAGUAACCAUCAGUAGCACAAAAUUAGAUAGAGGUAUUACAAUUUGUGAACUCAACACCAACUCAAGAAGAUAAACCAGGAGAUUAAGGUUGAGGGGUCUGGUUCAUUUAAAUAAAUGGGUUUGGUGAAGGUUGGCUCAUAUACGAUAUGAACCCAACACGUUGGCCCUAUCUUGCUCAUGAUACUUGUAAUUAUCUAUUGAGUUGGUUUAUUAACUUCAAUUUUAGCUCAUAGUCUGCAUAGACAUUUAUACCAGCAAGCUUAUGUCCUCAAGAACAGGUGAUGGCUUUCUUUUUCGAAGAUCAUGUGUAAUCGGUGGUCAUGUGCUCAAACAGAACAGAGAUGUUUGUCAUUGUGUUGAGCAGAACAAAGAUUGUAAAGAGGGAGUUAGGAGUCCACAACGACCAACUUGAUAUUCAAAGGCAACAAGCAGACAUCCGGCAUGAACGCAUACUUCUUCGUAUCUAUUGGGUGAUUUAUAUUUUAAUUUCGUUGUACUUGAUACGAUCACAGUGAAUACCCACUGAUCAAGGCAACUUGAUAUAUGGUUGAUGCAGUAGGAAAAAAGCUCCAAGAAUGUCUAGACCAGAUCCGUGUGUAUGUAGUCACCAUAGUGCCAUUAGUAUGCUGUAACCCUAUGAGGUUUUGGCUCUCUAGUUUUGUUAGUCAUUUGAUGUUGUAAUAGAAUUAUGGAUGUAGCUGGAAACUCUAUGUAUGUAGAAGUUCACAUAUUACUGAUGUAUUGUGAACUAUUAAAUGUGUAUGUGGAAAUUGUAAUUUAAUCCAGUUGAUGAAAGAAGGUAUUGAGGUUACACUUGA